rnacentral:rRNA from 1 species
AGUUGUUCUGCCCAUUGAGUUUAAAAGGCUGCAGUAUAUUAACUGUACAAAGGUAGCAAAAUAAAUAGUUUUUUAAUUGAAAACUAGAAUGAAAGAGUUGAUAAAAUAUAAUUUGUCUCAAUUAUUGAAUUUAAAUUAAUAGUAAAAAUGCUUUUAUUUUUUUAUUAGACGAUAAGACCCUAAGAAUUUUAUAUUUUUUUUAAUUAUAAAAAAUAAUAAUUAAAAAUAAUAUUUUAUUGGGAGGAUAAUUAAAUUAAACUUUAAUUUUUAAAAACAAAUAUAAUUGAAUUUAAUGAUUGUUAUUAAAAUUAUAAGUAUUAAUUACCUUAGGGAUAACAGCGUAAUAAUUUUGGAGAGUUCAUAUUGAUAAAAUUGUUUACGACCUCGAUGUUGAAUUAAAAUAAAAAUUAAAUGGAGAUAUUUAAAUUUUUAGUCUGUUCGACUAUUAAAAUUUUAC